rnacentral:rRNA from 1 species
GAUGAACGCUGGCGGCGUGCCUAAUACAUGCAAGUCGAGCGAACAGAUGAGGAGCUUGCUCCUCUGACGUUAGCGGCGGACGGGUGAGUAACACGUGGAUAACCUACCUAUAAGACUGGGAUAACUUCGGGAAACCGGAGCUAAUACCGGAUAAUAUAUUGAACCGCAUGGUUCAAUAGUGAAAGACGGUUUUGCUGUCACUUAUAGAUGGAUCCGCGCCGCAUUAGCUAGUUGGUAAGGUAACGGCUUACCAAGGCAACGAUGCGUAGCCGACCUGAGAGGGUGAUCGGCCACACUGGAACUGAGACACGGUCCAGACUCCUACGGGAGGCAGCAGUAGUGAAUCUUCCGCAAUGGGCGAAAGCCUGACGGAGCAACGCCGCGUGAGUGAUGAAGGUCUUCGGAUCGUAAAACUCUGUUAUUAGGGAAGAACAAAUGUGUAAGUAACUAUGCACGUCUUGACGGUACCUAAUCAGAAAGCCACGGCUAACUACGUG